rnacentral:rRNA from 1 species
CACACUGCCGAGAAAAGCCUCUAGAUAGAAAAUAGGUGCCCGUACCGCAAACCGACACAGGUAGUCAAGAUGAGAAUUCUAAGGUGAGCGAGCGAACUCUCGUUAAGGAACUCGGCAAAAUGACCCCGUAACUUCGGGAGAAGGGGUGCUCUUUAGGGUUAACGCCCAGAAGAGCCGCAGUGAAUAGGCCCAAGCGACUGUUUAUCAAAAACACAGGUCUCUGCUAAACCGUAAGGUGAUGUAUAGGGGCUGACGCCUGCCCGGUGCUGGAAGGUUAAGAGGAGUGGUUAGCUUCUGCGAAGCUACGAAUCGAAGCCCCAGUAAACGGCGGCCGUAACUAUAACGGUCCUAAGGUAGCGAAAUUCCUUGUCGGGUAAGUUCCGACCCGCACGAAAGGCGUAACGAUUUGGGCACUGUCUCAACGAGAGACUCGGUGAAAUCAUAGUACCUGUGAAGAUGCAGGUUACCCGCGACAGGACGGAAAGACCCCGUGGAGCUUUACUGUAGCCUGAUAUUGAAAUUCGGCACAGCUUGUACAGGAUAGGUAGGAGCCUUUGAAACGUGAGCGCUAGCUUACGUGGAGGCGCUGGUGGGAUACUACCCUAGCUGUGUUGGCUUUCUAACCCGCACCACUUAUCGUGGUGGGAGACAGUGUCAGGCGGGCAGUUUGACUGGGGCGGUCGCCUCCUAAAAGGUAACGGAGGCGCUCAAAGGUUCCCUCAGAAUGGUUGGAAAUCAUUCAUAGAGUGUAAAGGCAUAAGGGAGCUUGACUGCGAGACCUACAAGUCGAGCAGGGUCGAAAGACGGACUUAGUGAUCCGGUGGUUCCGCAUGGAAGGGCCAUCGCUCAACGGAUAAAAGCUACCCCGGGGAUAACAGGCUUAUCUCCCCCAAGAGUUCACAUCGACGGGGAGGUUUGGCACCUCGAUGUCGGCUCAUCGCAUCCUGGGGCUGUAGUCGGUCCCAAGGGUUGGGCUGUUCGCCCAUUAAAGCGGUACGCGAGCUGGGUUCAGAACGUCGUGAGACAGUUCGGUCCCUAUCCGUCGUGGGCGUAGGAAAUUUGAGAGGAGCUGUCCUUAGUACGAGAGGACCGGGAUGGACAUACCUCUGGUGUACCAGUUGUCGUGCCAACGGCAUAGCUGGGUAGCUAUGUGUGGACGGGAUAAGUGCUGAAAGCAUCUAAGCAUGUAGCCCCCCUCAAGAUGAGAUUUCCCAACUUCGGUUAUAAGAUCCCUCAAAGAUGAUGAGGUUAAUAGGUUCGAGGUGGAAGCAUGGUGACAUGUGGAGCUGACGAAUACUAAUCGAUCGAAGACUUAAUCAA